rnacentral:rRNA from 1 species
CCUACGGGGUGCUGCAGUGGGGAAUAUUGGACAAUGGGCGAAAGCCUGAUCCAGCCAUGCCGCGUGUGUGAAGAAGGCCUUCGGGUUGUAAAGCACUUUCAGUGGGGAAGAAAGCCUUGGGGCUAAUACCCUCGAGGAAGGACAUCACCCACAGAAGAAGCACCGGCUAACUCCGUGCCAGCAGCCGCGGUAAUACGGAGGGUGCGAGCGUUAAUCGGAAUUACUGGGCGUAAAGCGCGCGUAGGCGGUCUGAUAAGCCGGUUGUGAAAGCCCCGGGCUCAACCUGGGAACGGCAUCCGGAACUGUCAGGCUAGAGUGCAGGAGAGGAAGGUAGAAGUCCCGGUGUAGCGGUGAAAUGCGUAGAGAUCGGGAGGAAUACCAGUGGCGAAGGCGGCCUUCUGGACUGACACUGACGCUGAGGUGCGAAAGCGUGGGUAGCAAACAGGAUUAGAUACCCGUGUAGUC